UGUCGGGUAAGUUCCGACCCGCACGAAAGGCGUAACGAUUUGGGCACUGUCUCAACGAGAGACUCGGUGAAAUCAUAGUACCUGUGAAGAUGCAGGUUACCCGCGACAGGACGGAAAGACCCCGUGGAGCUUUACUGUAGCCUGAUAUUGAAAUUCGGCACAGCUUGUACAGGAUAGGUAGGAGCCUUUGAAACGUGAGCGCUAGCUUACGUGGAGGCGUUGGUGGGAUACUACCCUAGCUGUGUUGGCUUUCUAACCCGCACCACUUAUCGUGGUGGGAGACAGUGUCAGGCGGGCAGUUUGACUGGGGCGGUCGCCUCCUAAAAG
rnacentral:rRNA from 13 species